rnacentral:rRNA from 1 species
AGACGGAGGGUCCUAGCGUUGUUCGGAAUAACUGGGCGUAAAGGGUACGUAGGCGGUUUGGUCAGUUAGAUGUGAAAGCCCAGGGCUCAACCUUGGAACUGCAUUUAAUACUGCCAGACUUGAGAUCGGAAGAGGAAAGCGGAAUUCCUAGUGUAGAGGUGAAAUUCGUAGAUAUUAGGAGGAACAUCAGAGGCGAAGGCGGCUUUCUGGUCCGAUACUGACGCUGAGGUACGAAAGCGUGGGGAGCAAACAGGAUUAGAAACCCCAGUAGUCCC